rnacentral:lncRNA from 1 species
UCACAUAUAAUGUGUUAAAUGUGGUGGGUACCGACUUAAUUACUUGGGGAGCACUUGUGUUGCACUGGCUUUUUAUUCAUCCUUUCACUACCAAGGAGUUUUAUAGCUUACCAAUUGGAAUGGGUGUUGAUACUUUGGCCUCUUAUGCCUUUGUUGCUUUUUGUUUCCUAUUUAUGUUAUUCAUCUUUAGUAUUUUCAGGCUGUGUAACUUUGAUCUAAUAUUUUACUUUUAUUAUGAGGGGAUUUAAGUAUGUUUUGGCUUUUUUUAUAUUGAACUUUGUAAUUUAGGACAGGUUGCUUGGUUUUGAAUGAUGGAUGCUUGACAGACGUUGCUUGAUUCUAUUAACUUUUAAUGGAUUUACAGAUCUUGUAACAGAAAAAAAUUAAUAUAAAUUUUAAUUUAUUUUUUUUCUGACUCAACUUUAGCGAUUGAUUUUAUGGUCGAUAUAUUAAUUAAAAAAUUUUUAAAUAAUUAACAAUUAAUUUUGUGAUCGAUUUUAUUAAUAAAAAAAUAUUUCAAUAAAAAUAGUGACCAUUUUGCGAUCGAUUUUCAAGUCAAUUUUAAUUUAAUAAUUUUUAAUAAAUAUAACGAUCGAUUUUGUAAUCAAUAUAAAAAUAAAAAUAAUACAAUA